AGAAUCAACGCUGGCGGCGUGCCUCAGACAUGCAAGUCGAACGCGAAAGCCCCCUUCGGGGGCAAGUAGAGUGGCGCACGGGUGAGUAACACGUAGGUAAUCUACCUUCGGAUGGGGAAUAACAACCGGAAACGGUUGCUAAUACCGCAUAAUGCAGCGGCACCUAAUGGUGACAGUUGUUAAAGCGGGGGAUCGAAAGACCUCGCGUCUGAAGAGGAGCCUGCGGCGGAUUAGCUAGUUGGCAGGGUAACGGCUUACCAAGGCAACGAUCC
rnacentral:rRNA from 1 species